CUAAUAUUUAUUUUUAUUUUUUUUUGAUAUGUUGUACUAUACACAGAACUUUAACACUAUUAAAAUCUAAAUGGAACCUGUUCACAAUCAUCAUAACAACAAAUAAAAAGCUUCAGUCUGUGUAUGAAUUAUUUCCCACAUGUGAAAGUAAACAAAAAACACACAACUGCAAAUAAAUAGCAUCAAUUACAAGAAAUUACCCUAAACUCAAGUCAGUGAAGAAGUCAGCUACACCUUAAUUUAUACAUCAGCCACAAGUAUUGCAAUCGGUAGAAGAUAAUUGUGAUGACUUGUGUGAAAAUCCAUUAGGAUGAUGUUAAUGGUGGAAAAAAAAAUACAGCUCCACAGUCACACGCAAUCACUUCCUCAUCAUAUAUGCUAACUGUGCAUCCACCUACUAGCUACACUGGUGACGUUUUAAAUUACCUACUGUGCUGUUGAUGGACUUUUCUACUUUUUGCACAUGAUUUUAUUGUCUAAACACAUGGCACCUUUUUGCAAAAUGUAAACUAUUUUUAGUGUGCACUUUUCUAAAUCAAAUGCUGCAGGAACACUGAGGUUCUAUCAGGGAUAAAAGGGAAAUAAGCAAUAUUUUCUGAAUUGUUAAUUCAGAUAAAUAGUUUUUUAGUUAUCUCUAUCCAAUCAACUUUUAGUUGUUUUAUGCUAUAAAUACGGUACUACUUCCUUAUAUAUAGUACAGUGCAAAGGUUCAUCUCUUGAUGACCACCACUACAAACUUAAACGUAAACAACAAAAAGCAAAAGCAGGAUCACAAAGCAAGAGUCCUUUAGGAGGUAAACAUUACACACUGUAUCUCCAAUCGCAUCAAUCUUUUAGAUCUUGAUUGUUACUGGUGCUUUUUGUAGUCUUUCAUUAUCAUAACAGAAAAACAUAAAAGAAAUCAACACAUUAUCAGCUUUGACAGAACCCCCAGAAACACAGCCGCACAUCUAACAAGAGACUCAAAAUGAGGCUCUGCACCGUAGAUGCGCAGUAUUUGUAACUCCUUGAAUAUUCGUCAGUACUUCUUGUUACUAUACACUGCAAUUGAAUGUAAAGUGCACACAGACUCACAUGUACGUUAUCAGCUACGUUUCAUUCAAGCUGUAGAGCUCAUCGAUUUUGAAAUUAUUUUAAAGAGAUGGUGUCUCUGAAUGCUUCAUGAUCAUGAACAGUGGUACACUUCUAAAAGCUCAUUACUUGAAUUUUUCUGAAGCAGCUGGCGCGACCUUACAUGAUCAUUUCUUUUGGAGUCGAUUCACGUUCAAGUGACUUUUACCAUCAACCAAAAAAUAAAUGUUGUCUGCAGAGUUCUGCCAAUCUCAGAGUAAUAAAAUCAUUAAAAAGAAAGAAGGAAAACAAAGAAUGCUCUUUCAGUACAUUUAAACAACAAAUAAUAAUAAUGGAUUGCAUUUAUAUAGCACUUUUCAGGACCCUC
ensembl:lncRNA